rnacentral:tRNA from 1 species
UCCCCUGUAGCUCAGCGGUAGAGCGUCUCCCUGUUAAGGAGCGGGUCGUAGGUUCGAAUCCUACCGGGGGAGCCC